UGGGGAAUAUUGCACAAUGGGCGCAAGCCUGAUGCAGCCAUGCCGCGUGUGUGAAGAAGGCCUUCGGGUUGUAAAGCACUUUCAGCGAGGAGGAAGGUGGUGAGCUUAAUACGCUCAUCAAUUGACGUUACUCGCAGAAGAAGCACCGGCUAACUCCGUGCCAGCAGCCGCGGUAAUACGGAGGGUGCAAGCGUUAAUCGGAAUUACUGGGCGUAAAGCGCACGCAGGCGGUUUGUUAAGUCAGAUGUGAAAUCCCCGGGCUCAACCUGGGAACUGCAUUUGAAACUGGCAAGCUAGAGUCUCGUAGAGGGGGGUAGAAUUCCAGGUGUAGCGGUGAAAUGCGUAGAGAUCUGGAGGAAUACCGGUGGCGAAGGCGGCCCCCUGGACGAAGACUGACGCUCAGGUGCGAAAGCGUGGGGCAGCAAACAGGAUUAGAUACCCUGGUAGUCCAGCGCUGUAAACGAUGUCGAUUUGGAGGUUGUGCCCUUGAGGCGUGGCUUCCGGAGCUAACGCGUUAAAUCGACCGCCUGGGGAGUACGGCCGCAAGGUUAAAACUUAAAUGAAUUGACGGGGUC
rnacentral:rRNA from 1 species